rnacentral:rRNA from 1 species
GCACUUUCAGUAGGGAGGAAGGUAGUGUACGUUAACACCUGCACUUAUUUGACGUUACCUACAGAAGAAGCACCGGCUAACUCCGUGCCAGCAGCCGCGGUAAUACGGAGGGUGCGAGCGUUAAUCGGAAUUACUGGGCGUAAAGCGCAUGCAGGCGGCCUCGUUAAGUCAGAUGUGAAAGCCCGGGGCUUAACCUCGGAAUUGCAUUUGAAACUGGCAGGCUAGAGUCUUGUAGAGGGGGGUAGGAAUUUCAGGUGUAGCGGUGAAAUGCGUAGAGAUCUGAAGGAAUACCAGUGGCGAAGGCGGCCCCUGGACAAAGACUGACGCUCAGAUGCGAAAGCGUGGGGAGCAAACAGGAUUAGAUACCCUGGUAG